rnacentral:rRNA from 1 species
CCUACGGGAGGCAGCAGUGAGGAAUAUUGGUCAAUGGACGAGAGUCUGAACCAGCCAAGUAGCGUGAAGGAUGACUGCCCUAUGGGUUGUAAACUUCUUUUAUAUGGGAAUAAAAUGUUCCACGUGUGGGUUUUUGUAUGUACCAUAUGAAUAAGGAUCGGCUAAUUCCGUGCCAGCAGCCGCGGUAAUACGGAGGAUGCGAGCGUUAUCCGGAUUUAUUGGGUUUAAAGGGUGCGUAGGCGGGUUUUUAAGUCAGCGGUAAAAUGUCCGGGCUCAACCCGGGCCGGCCGUGGAAACUGGGGAUCUUGAGUGGGCGAGAGGCAGGCGGAAUUCGUGGUGUAGUGGUGAAAUGCAUAGAUAUCACGAAGAACUCCGAUUGCGAAGGCAGCAUACCGGCGCCUGACUGACGCUGAGGCACGAAAGCGUGGGGAUCGAACAGGAUUAGAUACCCUAGUAGUC